GUUGGGCACGGUGCCUGUAGUCCCAGUUACUCAGGAUGCUGAGGUGCGAGGAUCGCUUGAGCCCAGGAGUUCUGGGCUGUAGGGCGCUAAGCCGAUCAGGUGUCCACACUUUUGGCAUCAAUAUGGUGACCCCCUCGGAGCAGGGGACCACCAGGUUGCCUAAGGAGGUAUGAACCAGCCCAGGUCGGAAACAGAGCAGGUCAAAACUCCCAUGCUGAUCAGUAGUGGGAUUGUGCCUGUGAAUAGCCACUGCACCCCAGCCUGGGCAACAUAGCGAGGCCCCAUCUCUA
ensembl:misc_RNA Metazoa_SRP Metazoan signal recognition particle RNA